UAACCACAAGGUGUGGGAGGCCGUUUUUAAAAAAGUUUGUGAGGUUUGUCCAUCUAUUCAAAAUACCUUCGACUGGGUGAAGUGCAAAGACCGUAUAGAAUAUCUGAAACGACGUUACCGCGAAUGUGUGAAGCAUAACAAGAAGACGGGGUCGGAUCCACAACGCUGCCCAUUCUUUGAGGAACUGGACUCUGUUCUUGGUUAGCUGCUACUUUUAAGAGUAUUCAUUUUCUAUUGAAAAAUAAUUAACAGUGUACAAAGUACUUAAACUUGUGGCUAAUAAGCAUUCAUAUGAAAAAAAAGACAAAUAAUAAAAUGCAGUGAAUAAGCUAGUAAUAGAGACACAAGAAUUCUGUUUACGAUUUAGUAAUUUAACCAGUACUGUCGAUAUUGAGUAGAUAUUUCUGUUUCGUUAGCUUGUCGUCCUAUGACUAACCCCGGGGAUGGACAUAUGGAUGUGUCAAGUUCAGAGGAAGGUGAAAAUUCUGGUAAGUUUGUUAUUUUUCCCUUUACAAAAUGUCAAUGUUGCCAUUUAAUUAAUAUCUUGCAGCUCUGAAAUGUUCUAAAUGAUAUGCUUUGUUAUAGGUACCAGUUCACACUCAUCUGGUAUAGCAGAGCCAUCAGGAGACCAAGCAGCUACAAUGACAGCAUCUGAUAAUGACAGUGGUCCAAGGUCAGAGCUGACCUCCAAUCCCAGCCAAAAUUCCAUCAUUACAAGGCGUAAACGCAAAGGCAAAAAAACUCAAAUCAUGGAAGCCAUGGAGAGAGGGAUAAACAUGUUAAUACAACAUGACAAAGAUACAACAGCAGCAGAGGUUGAACAGCGUCUUGACAAGGAGCACAUGGCCUGGGAGAGACAGUUCCAGCAGGCCAGACUGGAUCUGGAAAGAGCACGUCUUGAAUUUGAGAUGAAGCGUCAGGAAGCUGAAGACAGGCGUGCUCGAGAUACCCAGCAAUUCAUGGUUCAAAUUCUGCAAGUGCUUAGACCUGCAAUGCCACAGUAUGGACCCUCAACUUCGUUUGCACAAUAUCAACAUCCAGCUCAGCACUAUUAUCCACCUGAUCCAUUUGCUUUUCCACCUGGUGAAGCCUCACACCAAAAUCUGUCAAUAUCAGUUGUCCAAGAUCAACGUUCACUGUCUGACCAAAGAAAUGACCACUAGAUGUUCUGGGCAUUGUUUUUUUGCAAACAUUAUUGUGCAGUUGCACGUGUUUGUACAAGUUUAAAGAACUGUUCGAGGAACAAAAAUGUUGUGAAAAUGUAGGAAGUUUUUUUUUUUUUUGCACUAUAUUACGUUGACAUUUUUGCACUUUAAUGCCUAAUGGUGAAACUUGAAUGUUAAAAUCCAGUUUACGUUAAAAGUAAAGAGACAAAUGUUCAAUACAUGUCAUAAGUUUUAUUAGACAUAUAGAUUGUAACUUUUUUGGUUCGUACAAACAGUUGUGUUGAUCUUACAGAAGAACCAGUUACAAAGGUGCUUGAAAUGAAAAAAAUUAAUAAAACUACCAAAAUAUUAAGCGAAUAUGUUUAAUCACAUUGCACACAUCAACAAUCACUGAUUUUCAGAAAUGUACCAUACUAAUACUUCACGGAUUUGCUCUGCAGUAGAACUGGCCAGGUCAAGCGGCUCGGGUGUAAUAAGGGUACCUUCAUCAUCUGGAUGUUCCUGCUCUGUGUCUUCCUCCUCAGGUAUCUCUGCUCUGCUCUGCUCCUGUGGGAAAUCCAGCUUCCAAGACUCACAAAAGUUGUGCAGCACAAUGCAAGCGGCAACAACAAACUUAAUGUUUGUAGUUUGACUAUCAUUGCGCUUCAUUAGGCAGCGCCAUCUGCCCUUUAGACGGCCAAAAGCAUGUUCCACAUGAAUUCUUGCCCUACUCAGACAUGCAUUGAAUUGCAGUUGGGGCCCUCUUGCAACUCCUUCUGGGAACGGUUUCAUGACAUUACGAGAGAGGCUAUAAGCAGAGUCAGCCACAAUCAGCACAGGAAUGUCAACACCUUGUAUUGUCUUGGUGAGUGGUGGAAAGCAUGUGCCAUUUUCCAGCUUUGCAUGUAGUUUUGAGUUUUGAAAAACAAAAGAGUCGUGGCACUUCCCUGGCCAGCCAACAUCAAAAUCUUGAAACAUGUACUGGUGGUCAACCAAGCCCUGUAGUAUCACGCUGUACCACCCCUUUGUUGUAGUAAUCAGUGUGAAAGCUGGAGGGUGCUAGGAGGGGAAUAUGUGUUCCAUCCAGGGCCCCAGCACACAUGGGAAACCCUGACAUCUCUUGAAAUCCUUUGAUUAUGAUCUUCACGUCUUCUUCACUUUUUGACAUUCCAAUAAACUUCCUUUUCAGUUGGCAGAGACCCUUACAAACCUCCCAAAACACAUCACAGGCAGUGCUCACCCCAAUUCCAAAGAGGUUUGCAACAUCAUGGAAUUCAGUGUUACUUGCUAACUUGUAAAGUGUCAGAGCAACCCUUUUUUCCAAACUCACUGUGGUCUUCAUGGUUUGCUUUGGUAUGUAAGGAUGAAGAAGGUCACAGAGAUUUAAGAAGGCCUCCUCUGGCAUUCUGAAGUUGAGGUACCACUCAGUUUCCCCAAAAUUUUGCAGCACAUCUGUCUCCCAGAAGGUGCUGGUGCGCUCCUUCUUAGCACUUGGUGCAGUUGUCAUGCUGCAAACUAUAUAAAAGCACAUUUCAGGUAUAACUUAAAAACUGCCAUCGAACACAGUUUAUGAUAUUUGUUUAAAUGUAUUUUGAAAUUA
ensembl:lncRNA